CGACCAGUGGCGAAAGCGUUAACUAGAACGAAUCUGACGGUAAGGAACGAAGGCUAGGGUAGCAAACCGGAUUAGAUACCCGGGUAGUCCUAGCUGUAAACAUUGCCCAUUUGAUGUUGCUUUCCCGUUGAGGGAAGGCAGUGUCGGAGCGAAGGUGUUAAAUGGGCCGCUUGGGAAGUAUGGUCGCAAGACUGAAACUUAAAGGAAUUGGCGGGGGAGCACCGCAACGGGAGGAAUGUGCGGUUUAAUUGGAUUCAACGCCGGAAAACUCACCGGGAACGACCUGUGCAUGAGAGUCAACUUGACGAGCUUACUCGAUAGCAGGAGAGGUGGUGCAUGGCCGUCGUCAGCUCGUACCGUAGGGCGUUCACUUAAGUGUGAUAACGAGCGAGACCCACAUCUUUAAUUGCAAAUGUAUAUGGGAAUAUGCAUGCACUUUAGAGAAACCGCCAGCGCUAAGCUGGAGGAAGGAGUGCUCGACGGCAGGUCAGUACGCCCCGAAUUUCCCGGGCUACACGCGCAUUAC
rnacentral:rRNA from 1 species